rnacentral:rRNA from 1 species
UACGAAGGGGGCUAGCGUUGCUCGGAAUCACUGGGCGUAAAGCGCACGUAGGCGGCUUUUUAAGUCAGAGGUGAAAUCCUGGAGCUCAACUCCAGAACUGCCUUUGAUACUGGCAAGCUAGAGUCCGGAAGAGGUAAGUGGAACUCCUAGUGUAGAGGUGGAAUUCGUAGAUAUUAGGAAGAACACCAGUGGCGAAGGCGGCUUACUGGUCCGGAACUGACGCUGAGGUGCGAAAGCGUGGGGAGCAAACAGG